rnacentral:rRNA from 1 species
GAUGAACGCUGGCGGCGUGCUUAACACAUGCAAGUCGAGCGAAGCGGCUGAAUUGAUUCUUCGGAUGAUUUUCAGUUGACUGAGCGGCGGACGGGUGAGUAACGCGUGGGUGACCUGCCCCAUACCGGGGGAUAACAGCUGGAAACGGCUGCUAAUACCGCAUAAGCGCACAGAGCUGCAUGGCUCCGUGUGAAAAACUCUGGUGGUAUGGGAUGGGCCCGCGUCUGAUUAGGCAGUUGGCGGGGUAACGGCCCACCAAACCGACGAUCAGUAGCCGGCCUGAGAGGGCGACCGGCCACAUUGGGACUGAGACACGGCCCAAACUCCUACGGGAGGCAGCAGUGGGGAAUAUUGCACAAUGGGGGAAACCCUGAUGCAGCGACGCCGCGUGAGCGAAGAAGUAUUUCGGUAUGUAAAGCUCUAUCAGCAGGGAAGAUAAUGACG